rnacentral:sRNA from 2 species
CAUAACCAUCCGCGAACUCAAUUUCGUACGGCAGGAGCGGGGGACCCAGGUAAGUCGCCGGACCGGUCGGCACACGUCGCACCGGAACGGCUAGGGGUGAAGCCGUGCCUUCUCGAAGGCACGGCCGGGCACCUCCCCGCCCGAACCCGACAGCUCACCUCGCAGGCGACGGAGAGGAACU